GACAGAGGGGGCAAGCGUUGCUCGGAAUCACUGGGCGUAAAGGGCGCGUAGGCGGGAUGGCAAGUCGGUCGUGAAAUCCUUCGGCUCAACCGAAGAACGUCGGCCGAUACUGCCGUUCUUGAGGGAUGCAGAGGAGAUUGGAAUUCCCGGUGUAGCGGUGAAAUGUGUAGAUAUCAUUUGGAACGCCAAUGGUGAAAACAGCUCGCUGGGGGUGUGCUGACGCUGAGACACGAAAGCCAGGGGAGCGAACGGG
rnacentral:rRNA from 1 species